ACCGUGUAACUGCUGUACUUUAAGCUGUACAUAUGCUACGCAUUGAGAGCUGUCCUGGAGCGAGGGGAAGCUUUUGGCCAACAGUGUAUGUAUACAGAGCUAAAAAGAUUGAAUGUGAAAGGAAUGCGGGUCUGAUUGAUCAUAUUUCAUCCGUACUUUCAGCUGUAACGUAUUAUUGGCUGAAACAGUCACAUCUCCUAAUUAAGCUCAUGUAAAACAAGAGAUCGUAUGGCUUCGACCUUAAAGGACUGUAACUUUGUUACUCCUAUAAGCUCCACAUCAAAAUUUUAGAAGUACAUUUCUGAAAUCUUAUAUUUUUUAUUUAUACAAAAGAAAAAGAAAUUGAUUUUUCAAACUUAUUACAAUGAGAAUUCUUUUGUAAGAGGAAUACUUUUUGUUAAUAAAUGGAUUAUGCGUUUUGAAGACGGACAAAAAGAUGUGCAAGAAUCAAUUAGAUUUUAUGUAACAUAUUUUAAUUAUAUAAAGCAAAUUAUAAAAAUUUGACAUUA